UGGCUCUGGCAUCGAUGAAGAACGCAGCGAAAUGCGAUAAGUAGUGUGAAUUGCAGAAUUCAGUGAAUCAUCGAAUCUUUGAACGCACAUUGCGCCCCUUGGUAUUCCAUGGGGCAUGCCUGUUCGAGCGUCAUCUACACCCUCAAGCUCUGCUUGGUGUUGGGCGUCUGUCCCGCCUCUGCGCGCGGACUCGCCCCAAAUUCAUUGGCAGCGGUCUUUGCCUCCUCUCGCGCAGCACAAUUGCGUCUGCGGGGGGCGUGGUCCGCGUCCACGAAGCAACAUUACCGUCUUUGACCUCGGAUCAGGUAGGGAUACCCGCUGA
rnacentral:misc_RNA from 1 species